rnacentral:lncRNA from 1 species
AUUUACCUUUCAAAUUAUUUACCUAACCCAAUUUACAUAUCUAAUAUCCACUAUCCAACCCAAUUAACCAAAAAUUUCCAAAAUUCAAUCAAAAGCUCCCAAAAUUCCCAAAAUCAAAAAUUUCCCAAAAUCUGCUCGAUGCCUCUGCAACUCUGCUCGUCAGUCCCCACUCCAGUCCGGUAGUCAUCGCCACUCGCCUGUCAUCUUCUUCAGCCUUCAGGUUAGUGGCCACUUGCUAGUACGACUUCUGCCGACUACAGCUCUUCUUCAACUCUUCUGCUCAUGACUGCUGGAGAAUGGUUCGAUUUGGAGAGCGAAGUCGUUUGCUGCUUCUGGAAUGGUGGAACCCAAGUUGGUGAAGUGGUUUUCAACACUUCAUUAACCGAGUAAAAAUUAAGAAUUUACUAUGAAUUUAUUUCCAUUGUUUUUGUGAUUUGUGAAUAAUGUUGGCUGAUAAAGAAUUUUUAUCCUCCACUUGCAAGUGGGUUUGUUAGAAAUGUGUGGAAUCCAUUUAUGUUCCAACAGAUUCAUUUAUCAUUUCUAGUCCACAGAUUGAAAUUGGAAAGAAGGUGGGAUCAAGCUCAUGGUCUCAAGGUGAUUGAUAGAAGUCCCGAGAGACUUCUUGCAUUUGAUUCUUCCGUUUUUUGUGUAAUGGUCAGGUUAUCUUGGGUGUGUAAUUGAUAUCUGAAUGGAUCACUUUGUGCAGAAUGGCUCAAUAAGGCUAUUAUGGGUGCAGGUGUCUUAACUAUAAUGGGCACGAAAAUUUUUAGUGUUUUUGAUUUUGAUUCCUCGAUCUACUUUUAUACUUCAUUACUUCAUUUCUUGAGAUUUCUGGAUUAUGGUUUCUAGCCUCAGUGGGUUAACAUGUUUACCACAUUGGAAAUCUUAUUUAAGAAGCCAAUUUUGUGUUUAUGGAAGCCGUUAGGCCCGUUACUUAUAUUUGUGUUCCUGUUGGCAUCUAUCUACUAUUGCAAUGGAGUUGAAAUUUACUGAAAUCUGCGGAAGUCUUUUGGCUGGGAAUAGUGAAGAAAGUUCACCAAUUGAAAACUAUGCAUUUUAAUAAUAUGUAUGUCAGAAGGUGGUUUUGUUGAAAGGCUUGAAAGUGGAGUAAAUUUCGUCUUCAUGAAUAAAAUUAAUUCAAUUACUCUCCCAUUGUAAACUAUUUCUACCUAGUGAUAAAACCCAUGGGCGAAGCCGCGAAAUCACUAAAGCGUAAAGGCAGACAUAAAGUUUUCCUUCAAGUGUAUAAAAUUUAAAAUAUCUUUAAAAGAUAUGUUUAGGGGGCACAAAUUAAAAUUGGCUUUGUUCAGUAAACUAAAAAUAAGAAAAAUAAGGAAAACUCAAAACCAGCUGUUAUUUAUUUCCCCCAAUUUCCUUUUACUCUUUAACGUAUAUUGCAUGAACAUUAUUUAUUAUCUUUAAAUGUAAUAUGCUGCAUGGUAGAGUUUAUAUAUGUAAAUAGAGAGUUUGUCCCCAACUUUUGAAAUAGAACAUUUUGG